rnacentral:lncRNA from 1 species
GAAAAAUUACACAAAUGGCCCUGAGGUGGUCCUCUAUAGGCCUUUCUCUUGCUAUGUUUGCUGCAAAGAGAGCUGGUAACCACUAGAGGGGAGGAGACUGCCGGCUUUACUGAAUACUUCACGGUAGAGCUUGAAGGUGCUGAAGCUGUCACAAGACUGGUUGCCCAACGAAAUGGUUUAAAAUAUGUUAUGAAGAAAAACAGAAGCAAUACUGGAAGUCAGCUGUUAUAUCCUGCAAUUACUGAUGAGUGACUACGGAAAGUGCCAAGCUAAGUUCCAGAAGAGGCUGGCUAGGUGGUGGAAUUCUUCAUUGGACUUCUGUACAACCCCUGGGGACCUGGAAAGCAGGAAGCCUUUAAUUAAGGUACCCAUGUUCAUGGAAGUUGAUGAUAGGCUGAAGACCAUCUUUGGUAGUCAUGCUCCCUAUUUGAUGCAUAAUAUUUUGUAAUCCAAAUAAGUCUGUCCUCCCUACAGAUUUCAGGGAUGCAUGUGAAUGAGAUCCUACUCCACAAGUUUGCUCCAGUUCGAAAGUAUUUCUGGCAUUGUAUGACAAUUAAAUGUGAUGUGUUCCCUAUCCAAAAUAAAGAAAAAGCAAUUCUACA